GGCACUAUGGCCGAGUGGAAAGGCAAAGGUCUGCAAAACCUUUAACAGUAGUUCGAAUCUACUUAGUGCCU
rnacentral:tRNA from 1 species